rnacentral:rRNA from 1 species
AACGAACGCUGGCGGCAUGCCUAACACAUGCAAGUCGAACGAGACCUUCGGGUCUAGUGGCGCACGGGUGCGUAACGCGUGGGAACCUGCCCUUAGGUUCGGAAUAACUCCCCGAAAGGGGUGCUAAUACCGGAUAAUGUCUUCGGACCAAAGAUUUAUCGCCUUUGGAUGGGCCCGCGUUGGAUUAGCUGGGUGGUAGGGUAAAAGCCUACCAAGGCGACGAUCCAUAGCUGGUCUGAGAGGAUGAUCAGCCACACUGGGACUGAGACACGGCCCAGACUCCUACGGGAGGCAGCAGUGGGGAAUAUUGGACGAUGGGCGAAGGCCUGAUCCAGCAAUGCCGCGUGAGUGAUGAAGGCCUUAGGGUUGUACAGCUCUUUUACCCGGGAUGAUAAUGACGGUACCGGGAGAAUAAGCUCCGGCUAACUCCGUG